rfam:Zea mays cultivar B73 chromosome 6, whole genome shotgun sequence.
AUAUCUUUCUCUGUCUUUUGAUUAAGAUAAAGUGUAAUAUUUGUUCUUGUCAGUUUAAUAUCUAAUAUGUGGACCAUAUGUUCACUUUAGUAUUAAAUUUAUUUUUUUAUUUAUAAAUAUCAAAAAUAUGAUUGUGUCAUCAUAGCACACGGAUAUUGAAUAUGUCCUAAAAAACAUGCAUGCCUACU